rnacentral:rRNA from 1 species
GUGUAUGGCCAUACGACCCUGAACGCGCCCUGUCUCAUCUGACGUAAGCUCAGCAGGGUCGGGCCUGGUUAGUACUUGCAUGGGAGAAAGUAGACAGUGGUAGAGA